rnacentral:misc_RNA from 1 species
UGCGGCUGGAUCCCCUCCUUUCUAAGGAGCUCACCACAUCAUCGCCCGCUUCGUCGGGACACUCGGUGGUGUCAGGUGGCCACGCAGACGCCGUACGUGUGUCUGGUGGUUGCUCAUGGGUGGAACAUCAAGGCUUGGCAUGCUGUUGGGUCCUGAGGACACAGGCCACAGCCACCCUGUUGGGGUGGUUGGGUGUGUUUCUUCUGGUGGCCGCCUUCUGCCGGCUGGUGCGCUGUGUGUGCACUGGUUGGGGUUGGUCGGUGGGUUGCUUGAGAACUGUACAGUGGACGCGAGCAUCUUUGAUCUUUUGUGGUCAAGUUUUUAAGAGCAUUCGGUGGAUGCCUUGGCACUAGGAGCCGAAGAAGGACGUGGUGGCCUGCGAUAAGCCUCGGGGAGUUGGCUAACGAACCGUGAUCCGAGGAUGUCCGAAUGGGGAAACCCGG